CUAGUGUACAUUACUUAGGGGGAGCUGGGAGUUAAAGUGAUAAUCCUCAUAAAAUUUCCCUAUACGAUAGUUUCCAAAUCGCUGUCCUAGCCCUUUAAAAAUUGGGAUCCAGGUCCUACCUCGUAGGUCAAGUGAGAAAGAAUCUACUUUAGGGAUUUCCUGGGUCACAUUUACAAAAAAGACGUACUUAAAAGUAAUUUUUUAAGUAAAACUGAAAUAAUUAGUAUAGGGACAAAUCGCUCGGUAACCCUGAGAAGAGUAAGCCGCAACAAGGUAAGAGUACUGGAAGGUGUUCUU
rnacentral:rRNA from 1 species